AAUAGAUACCCUGGUAGUCCAUGCCGUAAACGUUGGGCACUAGGUGUGGGACCCCCUCAACGGGUUCCGUGCCGUAGCUAGCGCAUUAAGUGCCCCGCCUGGGGAGUACGGCCGCAAGGCUAAAACUCAAAGGAAUUGACGGGGGCCCGCACAAGCAGCGGAGCAUGUUGCUUAAUUCGAGGCAACGCGAAGAACCUUACCUGGGUUUGACAUGUACGGAAAAGCCACAGAGAUGUGGUGUCCUUUUGGGCCGUACACAGGUGGUGCAUGGUUGUCGUCAGCUCGUGUCGUGAGAUGUUGGGUUAAGUCCCGCAACGAGCGCAACCCUUGUCCUAUGUUGCCAGCGGGUAAUGCCGGGGACUCGUAGGAGACUGCCGGGGACAACUCGGAGGAAGGUGGGGAUGACGUCAAAUCAUCAUGCCCCUUAUGUCCAGGGCUGCAAACAUGCUACAAUGGCCAGUACAAAGGGCUGCUAUACCGCGAGGUUGAGCGAAUCCCACAAAGCUGGUCUCAGUUCGGAUUGGAGUCUGCAACUC
rnacentral:rRNA from 1 species